rnacentral:rRNA from 1 species
GCUCUAAAAGUGUAUAUUAAUACUGUUGUAGUUAAAACGCCCGUAGUAAACCAAAGGGUCAUAGUUAUUGAUCUGACCAGUUCUGUUCGUCAUAGUCAGCCACGUAUUGUGGCUGAUUGGAUGAAUAAGGACAGGUCCUCGGUCUCUAACGGAAGUGAACGGGUUCGCCCAAGUAGCAUCCGCCAUGGGAUAGGUCAAUGAUUAUGGCUCGCUCCCUGCCAGUCCGAAAGGUCUGGUAGGGCCAUUUGGCACAACCGUAAACAAAUCAGAGUGCUCCAAGCAGGCAAUGUUAGGGGUAACCCAUUUGCUUGAAUGAUUUAGCAUGGAAUUGUCACGAAGCCGAUCGGAAACUUCGAGGGUUUACCUGAGAAGUGGAAGAUCCGGCGCUCGCAAUGAGACACUGGUAGAGGAUCCAAGUACUAUGGCGCGAGAGGUGAAAUUCAGUGACCGCCAUAUGACUAUCUAAUGCGAAAGCAGUUGUGAUCCAGAACGUGUCUGUCAAUCAGGGACGAAAGUUAAGGGAUCGAAGAUGAUUAGAUACCGUCGUAGUCUUAACCGUAAACGAUACCAACACGAGAUUGGUAGUGAGACUUUUAGAUCCUAUCAGAAUCCAAGGGAAACCGUUAAGUUUUUGGGUUCUGGGGGGAGUAUGGUCGCAAGGCUGAAACUUAAAGGAAUUGACGGAAAGGCACCACCAGGAGUGGAGUAUGCG